GUUUCCCCAUCUGCUCCAACACCAUGCAGUAUCAGACUUUUUGAUCUUGGUCAAUAAGGAUCGGUAUUUCUGUGUUCAGUCGGCAUUUCUCUAAUAUGCUUCUGAUUCUUGGAACCAGGCUCGGUGACCUCACGCGAGUGACUUCAUAUCCGGGACUUUCUGGGAAUUCUCAGCAGCACUUUUUCUAAAAUGAGUUAAACAUUUUCAUGAGCUUCUAAAAGGAUUGUGGACCCUAGGCAGUGUUGCCCCCUGUGCCGGAUGGGUGAGUUGGCCCUGGGUAAAAUCAGAGCGAUGUGACACAGCCUGGAAAGAACAUGAAAGGACCUAGAGGAUAGAAUUCUCCCCUCCUGGAGGAGGCCAUAAACACAGGAACAGCUGCACAGGAAGGGCCUUGAAUGACCUAAGAAGUGUGGAUUUUAAGGCGACAGAGGUGGUGAGAAACUGCUGCAAGGCUGGAUUGGAGGACUGAUGGUUUGGGGGUGGCACUGGUGGUGGGGAGAGAAAUGAGGAGGCUGUUGCUAUGGUAGUCACAUGUUGGAGCUCACAAAUCAAUGUGGAAAUGAAGCAGGGGGCAAGGGGAAGACAUACUUGGGAAGCCGAAGCCCACUGAUAUGAGGCAGUAAUGCAGAGAGAAGCCUGGGCUAUCUUCUCUGGCUUGGGUGAAUGGCAGAUGCUGCUACCCCUCUUGGAAAAUAGGAAGACGGGAGGAGAACGUGUAUGUGCACCAGGACUUUGGGAAGAUCAAAUGGAAGGUCUUUCACAAAUAACAAAGCAAGGAGACUUCGAGUAACUUCACAGGCUUGUGGGCAGCUUCAGGGCCACCUCUUGCCCAGACCCUGCAAGUUGGGACACUUUCCUGCUCACUAUGGCCUGGAGGACAAAACCACCUCACUUGGACAUUUCCAGAAUAAAGAAUGGGGAAAAGCAGACUAGGUUUUCAAUACCCUUUCAGUAGAAAACUGCCCCAUAAACUCAUUGGCUACCUACUUCUUAAUCCCCAAUAACUGUUUUUAUGUGCGCAUCCCCACCCCCAUAAUAGGCUUGACUCCCACCCUCCAAUACAAACACUGGGCUUUCUCCAGAGCAGAUCAGGCCAAAAGCAAGGGCUGGGACAGGAAAUACACUUACAGGGAGAAGAGCUGGGUCUGAAUGACUCCUUGAAAGAUAAUCCUUCAUGUAUUCACUCUAAAACACGAAUCUAGCACUUACUAUGUGUUCUGGUACCAUUCUAGCACUGGGGAUGCAAUAAAAAUCAAAUAAGACGUGGUUCUUCAUGGAGAUGCUACUUCAGUGGGGGGAAGACUGACUGUGGAGAUGUCACUUUCCAAAGAUGUAUGCAUGUUCUAGAAUUUUGCCUCUUCCCUACCAAAAGGUGAUGUCCAAUACCCCCUUCCUUUCAAUCUGGGCAGACUUGUGACUCACUUGUAACCAACGGCAUGUUGGUUACAGAUGUGAUUUUUCAUGACUUCUGAGACUAGAUCAUAAGAGGUGAUAUAGCUUCUGCCUUGUUAGAUGGGACAUGUCUUUGGAGCUACAACUUAGGAAGUUCGACAACCCAGAGAUUGCCAUGUUGUGAGGAAGCCCAGGCCACAUGGAAAGGCCACACAUGUGUGUUCUGGUUGACAUCCCUGCUGAUGUCCCAAACAUUGUGGCACAGAAACAAGCCAUGCCCACUGUGCUCUGUCCAAAUUCCUGUUUGGGGUGGUUUGCUAUGCAGAAAUACUAUCUAGAACACUAAGAAACAAGUGAAUAAGUGAGCAAGAUAAUUUCAUAUUGUGAGAGGGAAAUAUGGGAAAACAUAAAACAGCAUGAAAAUAAGGGCCUCUUUAGAUGGGGGAAGGGGGGAGGACUGAUCAGGAAAGGCCUUUCUGGAGAGACAUUGGAACUGAGACCUGAGUGAGAAGGAGCUCAACCGCUAACCCUCUGGGAGAAGAGACUUUCAGCCAGAGGGUUCAUCAAGUACAAAGGUCUGGAGGCAGAAAUCAGCUUGGUAUGUUCUGAGAAGAGCAAGAAAGACAGUGUGACUAGGGUGAUGUGGGUGAGGAGGAGAGUGGGGCCAACGAAGGUGGAGAAGAAGGCAGAGAGGCAAGUCAUUCUGGUCCUACAGGUCACUGAGAGGAGUUUGGAUUUAAGACUGAGUGAGCUGGGGAGCCGGUGGAGGGUAUUAUGCAGGAGUGACUGGAUCUGGUCAAUUCUUAGUAAGAGUUCUGGCUGCCUGGUGGAGGACAGAGCGUAAGGACACACAGGGCAAAGGGAGGAGGACCAUUGGGGAGGCUAUGGCAGUGCCUAAUCCCCCAGGGAAGGGAGGAUGGACGGUGGCCUGAGACAUGGUGAUGGCGGUGAAGAUGGGGACUGGUGGACAAAUUCCGGACACAGAGGCAAUGACAGAGAGCACCAGGGAGGGAGGAGGCGCCCAGUCCUGCAGGUCCCGGGCAGGAUCUAGACGUGGGUGAGGACAGGAACCCUGUAUCCGUCUGGAAUCCGAAGGGAGCCUCAGCGAGAGGGCUGGCCAGGACGGCGCGUCCUGGCGCCCGGCGUCUGCAGUGCAGAGCCAGUCCCUGGCUGCACGCCUGCCGGGCGUCUCCCAGCAACAGCCGCCGCCGCCCGAACGUUCUGAACUCGGCGGCCCCUUAGUCCUCAUCGUCACCUUGGCGACGGCCGGUGGGAACACGCCCUGCGGGCUCCGGGGGCGGGGUCUGGUCGCCACGCGCUCCGCCUCCCGCGGGGUGCGCCUUCAGCCCCGCCCGCCCCCGCCCCUCCUCGGCGGCACGCGUGGCCGCAGGUGUGCAGGGCACCGGGAGGGGCCUCGCCGAGAAGCCGCUUCUCUCCUCUGUGCACGCCGCCGCCGGCGCGCACCACCGGCCCAGUCACCUCUCCCCACUCUUCCCCCUAGGCCGCCACCUCCAACCAAUCGGACUGGCUCUUCUGUCAUUCGGGUCACCUCCGCUGAGAUGCCUUCCCUGACCACCCAAGUUGAAGGAACUGCUAACCUUUUCUCUUGGACUUUGUUUUUUAUUUCCUUCACAGUAUUUCUCCCCUCUAAAAUUAUCUUGUCUGCUUCUACCUAUAUUGCCUUCCCUCUUGAAACCUAAGUUCCAUAAACUGAGGCACAAAUUCUGCCUUGUUCAUCUCUGUUCUCAGCACUCUGAACAGAACCUGGCAUGAAUGAGGUGCUCAAUAAAAGUUACUUGGAUGAAUCGGCA
rnacentral:lncRNA from 1 species